GUGAAGUAGAAGGGACAUAACAUACCUAACAAUGAGGAAUCUGCCAACUAUUAUUUUUCUGUGCUUUAGUGUUUUCUUCCUUCCUUCCGUCUUCACUUCUUACAGCAAUGAGAACCAUCAGAUAGGCUACAAAAGUCGGCCCCAAGUAGCUAAAGGUUUGGGCGGGUCAAUACCGAGAAAUGCUAUCUGUUCACAAUGCCACUUGCUCGGUCGCUGGUACUGUGUUCUUCUUGGAUGUGCGCAAUGAUGGCGAAAAUGACGGCGAUACAGGACAUUUCGUUACCAUUUAAUGUAUUCAUUACUAUUGACUGCUAUUUGGAUUGUUUGUACAGCAUGUUGAUCGAUGUCCAUUAGCAAUGCAAUAAACACUAUCAUAUAUAA